rnacentral:lncRNA from 1 species
GGUCUGCCAGCGCUGGGCAGGACAGACGCCGCGGGCCACACUCCCGACCUGAACUCUCCUGGGCCCACUCCCGGCCAAACCUAGCGAAGCGCUGCACGAUGAAGAAGUUGAGGCACGGAGGGAGCAAAUAGCCUGCGGACACAGUGUGGUGCAGGGAGAGGGGCGCUAACCAAGCAGGCUGACUGCGAGCCGCGUUCUGCACGCCAUCCGUGCCACAGGCUGGAAGAGCCAGCACGCCUCCAGCUCCAGCUCACCUGUGGACGCAGCCUUUCUCUCAAGUAUCCUGAAGCGCUUCAAGUGAGUGGCCUAAUUGUCACAGCGAUGGGGGAACGAGGAAAAGGAGCUACAGUACAGUACUAUCUAGUUUAUGGUGGAAGGAACUAAGAUUCCAACACGGAACAUUUUGUUGCAAGUCCCCAGCAAAGACCCAGACUUCAGACGACAGUGACGUUGACAGCGUCCAGCCGCGGUCGUGUCAGAUGAAGCUGGCUUGGAGACGGCUGAGGUUUGCUGCCCUAGAGGCCACAGUCUUUAGGAAGGAAAGACCUUGUGAACAAGAGGCAGUAGUGACUGGAUGCCUGACGGUGUGAUUUGGAGGUUGCGGAGUGACUCCCAGAGCAAGGAUAGGGCCUGGGCCCUCUGAGCAUGCUCAGGGGAAGUAACUGCGGGGAGGCAGGCAAAAAGAAUCAGGGGACUUAAAUGAUUUAAUUGAGUGGUAGAAAAAGUAUAAUAGUGAAAGAACCGAUUUGUCCCUACUUUGUAUUGAAAUUCCAUUUGACUGCUAACUGGAUUUCUCUCCAGUGUUCUGCCCAUCGCCCCUCCCACAACGUCAUUACCGCUGUGGUCAUCCUCACUAGUAUUUCUGGUGUAUACCCUGGGAGCACCGGAGUUUAGUUUAAUCUGACUCGGCCUCACUAACUCCUGGAAGGAUUCCCCUUAGGGUGCCAUCUCUGCCCAGUCCCUCCUUACAGAGUCUGGGAGCGGGUGGAAGGGACCCUCAUUGGAAGUGCUCUGUUCUGCCCUUGGAUCGAUUUUUCAUGGGUGUACAUCUCUCUGUGGGCAAUGACCUCAUAGGGUAGCUCCAUUCCUUUUUCCGAAUGGGCUAGUACAGAGGACAGGGCAAAGUUCUCAUAAAACUUCUAAUAUCAAGGAGAGUAGCAACAUUAGAAAUGAAAAUAUAGGGGCCGGCCCGGUGGUGCAGCAGUUAAGUUUGCACGUUCUGCUUCACUGGCCGGGGUUUGCCAGUUCGGAUCCCGGGUGAGGACAUGGCACCGCUUGGCAAGCCAUGCUGUGGUAGGUGUCCCACAUAUAAAGUAGAGGAAAUGGGCACGGAUGUUAGCUCAGGGCCAGUCUUCCUCAGCAAAAACAGGAGGAUUGGCAGCAGUUAGCUCAGGGCUAAUCUUCCUCAAAAAAAAAAAAAAAAAAAGAAGUGAAAAGAUAGAAAAAGUAUGAAAAUAUAUAUAAAAAAGGAA